rnacentral:rRNA from 1 species
AGCGAACGCUGGCGGCGGGCUUAACACAUGCAAGUCGAGCGGGCACUUUCGGGUGUCAGCGGCGGACGGGUGAGUAACGCGUGGGAACGUGCCCUCUGGUUCGGAAUAACUCAGGGAAACUUGAGCUAAUACCGGAUACGCCCUUUUGGGGAAAGGCUUGCUGCCGGAGGAUCGGCCCGCGUCUGAUUAGCUAGUUGGUGAGGUAACGGCUCACCAAGGCGACGAUCAGUAGCUGGUCUGAGAGGAUGAUCAGCCACACGGGGUCGGAGACACGGCCCAGACUCCAGCCGGAGGCAGCCAUGCCUGCUCAUGGAGAACGAGCGCAAGCCUGAGACAUUCUUUCCGCGGUAACGCCAAUCUCAGUAGGGGCGUAUAGCUCUUUGAUCGAUGCCGGAUCAGCCGAUACCGGAAGAAUAAGACCCUUCCAACUUCGUU